AACCCCAAACCUAAUACUCUAAAUUAAGAUUAUAUAUAAAAAUUAACCUUAUAUCAUAACACACUAAAUUAACAUUAUAUAAAAAAAAAUAUUAACCUUAUAUCAAGUUGUGUUAUCCUUGACCCAAACCCAAAAAUCUAAACCCCAAAUCAAAAUUUAGAAAUUUUCUAAGUUUAUAUUUUCAAAUUAGUCUUUUAAAAAUUUACACUUAUACAAGACCUAUUUUCUUAACUCCAAAUCUUUAAUCAUAAAUAUAAUCUUUUAACUUUAAACUUUUAAUCAUCAAACACAGAUUCUAAUAUAUCUAAGUUGCAAUUCUAUUGAAAUCAAAACAUAAACAACAAAACCAUAAAUAUAAUCCUAACUAUGAAGUCUAAUAAUAAACUAUUAACGAAAUAGAGUGUUGAUUUCUUAUUGGUUCAUUUUGGAUUGGUGUGGAUCACCAUUUUCUGAUCCUAACCAUUGAUAAGAUUAGAUCUAACGGGGCAAAUUGAUUUGGUUUUGUUUUAAUUUUUUCUUCCCUUCUCCCCUCACAAGCUCCAUCAUCUCAUCUCCUCUUUCUUUGUUUUUGAUUAAGAUUAUUCUUUCUUCUCUUCACGAACUCCAUCUUUUCCUCCUCAUCUACUUUUUCUUCUGCUCUUCUUCUCAAUCUGAACUUAUCUCCCUUUGCUCAAUCUCCAUUCAAGCCUACCUUCGUUAGCUGUUGUCGUGGAGACCAAGACGAUUUCAUGACUGAAUCUGAGAAUAAAUACACACGUCGGAGAUGGUGGUGUGACGGAAGAAGCACGCCGGAGGUGGUAUCGUGACGGAGCAGACAAGCCGGAGCUGAUGGUGAAGCGCGGAAGCAACGGCGGUGGAGGUGCUGAAGCUGACGGUGACGUCUACAUUUCUUUGAAGCCGACGGUGACGUCUACGACGGAGAUGACGAUGUAUUUUUGUAUAUAUAAUUAUGUAUUUGUGAAUAAUGUUUUUAUGUAUUUGUGUAUUUUGUCUAAAUAAUGAUAAUUAAAAAACAAAAAUCAAAUUUGUUUUUUUCUGA